GAUGAAGUUUGCAUUUGAGGACAUUUGGUUGUGUCCUGUAAACACUGGUGCACACUGGAUUCUAGUGAUUAUCGACAUGUCAGCAAAAACUGUGGUGCUUAUUGACCCUCUUGGAAAUGAAUGUUCAUAUGAGCGCAAGUUUCUGCGUAACUGGAGGAACUUUCUGAAGACAAUGGCACAUAACUCGCAGAGAGCUAAGUGGCAAAUAAGACCAUGCAGCACAACAGACAGAGGGAUGGAAGUAGUUGUGGAGUUUUAGUACUGAAGUUUGCAGAACAUUUCCUUCUGACUGGUAGAAUUGAUGGAGUUGAAACCACAUCGCUUGCUGUGAGUGCUGCACGGAUGGACAUUGCCUGUUCACUCCUUAAAUGUCGAGGUGCAGUGUGACCAGUGUAGUGGUCAAAUUGAUCGAUUCAGUAGGAAAUCCCGGGAAAUACACGUGCGAAUUUUUUUCAAGUGUCAACGCGAAACGUAUAAACUCAGCCAUGGAACACAACUAUAUUAGGCCUAUAUUAAGGGACUAAUUCAAAAGCAAAAAUUCUUUGACAGUAAUGAAGAUCAGGGUUAUAUGAGACGUAUAUCUGCGCCCAGGGGCCAACAAGUUAUGUGUUAAGUGUGUCGCAUACAUAGCACCCCCACCCUGCUCACCUCCCGAGCAGAGAAAAAAAGU